rnacentral:pre_miRNA from 1 species
GAAGGAGAUGUCAAAGAUGAAUAGAAGAAUCAUAUUUGGUAGCCAAGGAUGACUUGCCUGACUCUUUGUGUAAAAUGUUUAGUGUCUUGUUUGAAGUCACUAUAAGUUGUAUCAAGCAAUGACCAUUUUGCUUAUAAAAAAGAUAUCAGGCAGUCUCCUUGGCUAUCCUUAUAUGUUCUUCUCUUUCAUCUCAGACAUUCACCUUC